AUCCAAAGGAUUAUUUUUUUACUAUAGUAAAAGUUCUACUUUUCAAGUAAUAGUAUUUUAAAAAUACAUCACUCGUAUUUGAGAGGCUUAUUUUUUUCAACAAUAUUACCCAUGGUGAUGUGUGUGCAGCACGUGAAUAGUCCGGUUUAUUGGAAAUUGUAAGUUGUGUUGCGCAUUGAGCGUGUGUAAGACCCCCAUAGUGCAAUUUUGGGAUGUCAUACACUGGUUUAAAAAUGUAAAUGUUUGCCUAAUGUUUUGGAGGGGUUAACAUUCGAGUUACUCAAGUGGGACCUCUGUUUUUAUCAAAACGCCACAGGUCAAAGCCCAAGCAUUUGUAAAUCAGGCUGGAUUUCAACCAAAUAUGAGUCACUUGAAAUCUUUGACUUGGCAAAAAAUCUCUUCUCUUGGAGGGAGCUCUCUAAGAAUGCGAACAGCAACAAGGAUUUUGCUUGAAGGAGCAAUUCCCCCUUGAUUAACGCAUAAAUUAACAAUAUUUGCAGCAGCAAAUGGCAGUGUGAGUUUCUCAACAGAUUAAUAGUGUUCAAAAUGUCAGAUUAACAUGGCUGUUUUGUGCACCUGCAUUGAUAUAAUAGAACGUUACUAGUCAGCUGCCAGCAGAGGCCUGCUGAAGAACGAAUCAAGCCCUUGAUGCCUGUCAAUGCCAUGCCUGUUGCUAUUAAAAAUGUUUAUUUACACUAGAAGUGAAUGAAUUCAUAAACACACAGCUGUUAUUAAAGAAUGUCUGUGUUAAUUUACGAUGCUCAGAAGGAUGUAAACAAUAAGGAGCGGCAGGCUUUAUGUGUAUUCUUAACAUAUCAGAUUGAAAGAGCAAAGGUUUUUAUUACCUCACUAAGAAUGCGAUGUAUAUAUGAUUAUAUAAAAUCGCAAAGGGCUAUUCAAAAUGGAGGCCUAGGGGAUGGGAAACGUAUAUAACCUGUUAUCUUUGUUCAUGGUUAGAAGCAUAGACUGGAAUGUGGUUGCUCGGGAAACCUGUAUCACAAAUUUUAUUUUCAUAAAACCACUUUAUUAAAACAUUUUAGUCUCUGGAGUUUCAUCAAGUCCACCCAAACAUUUGUGAACACGACACAAUAGAGAUCUGACUUCAAUGCAAGGCUAAAUGUAAGUAUUUCAUACAGUUUGGGUAAAUUAGCCUUCCAAAUACCCGCCCUUAUUUACAAGCCUAAGAUGUUCUGAUACGCUGUAAUAUUCUACAAAGUAACUAACGAAAGUGUCUGCUCUAGUAUCUUUACCCUACGUUGAUUGAUACCAUCUACAACCAACUGGCCUAUU
ensembl:lncRNA